rnacentral:rRNA from 1 species
UACGUAGGGGGCAAGCGUUGUCCGGAAUCAUUGGGCGUAAAGAGCGCGUAGGCGGUCCGGUAAGUCCGCUGUGAAAGUCAAGGGCUCAACCCUUGAAUGCCGGUGGAUACUGCCGGGCUAGAGUCCGGAAGAGGCGAGUGGAAUUCCUGGUGUAGCGGUGAAAUGCGCAGAUAUCAGGAGGAACACCGGUGGCGAAGGCGGCAUCCUGGACCGGUAAUUGACGCUGAGGCGCGAAAGCCAGGGGAGCAAACGGG